rnacentral:lncRNA from 1 species
GGGGCUCAAUUAAGCAGAGGAAGUUCCCUUUUUUUUUGGAAUCUUUUAUGAUAUCGGAAAUUCGUUACCGGCUGAAUCAGGUGUUGGAUCAUUAUACCCCCGCUUUAAAAAAAGGGGGGGUAUACUGUUUUACCUCUGUCUGUCAGUCGUCAGUCCGUCCAUCAGUCCGUCCGUCAGUCAGUCCGUCCCAUGAAACUUUCGUCACAUUUUUCUCAGGAACUACACAUCCACC